rnacentral:lncRNA from 1 species
UCCCUUCACAUCGUAGGGCUAAGGUUUUUGAUUUUUGAAUGUACUCUUCACCAAGUUUUUAUAGUAAGCUGAUCCAUUCUUAAAUUUUUCUAUUACAUCACAUGCACUUUAUGAAAACUCUUUUUUGAGGCAGAACAUUCCUCUACUUUCUACUUCAUGUAUUGUGAUAUGGAAGUUUUCUCCAGCCAUAUGAAUCCUUCCGAAGCGAAGGUCCAAAACCAUCUGAAGAUUAUAAAUGAUAGCUUUGGUGCUCGGUCCUCACUUUGUAAUUUU